UACGGGGGGAGCAAGCGUUGUUCGGAUUUACUGGGCGUAAAGGGCGCGUAGGCGGUCAGCACAAGUCAGUUGUGAAAUCUCCGGGCUUUAACUCGGAAAGGUCAACUGAUACUGUGCGACUAGAGUGCGGAAGGGGCAACUGGAAUUCUCGGUGUAGCGGUGAAAUGCGUAGAUAUCGAGAGGAACACCUGCGGCGAAGGCGGGUUGCUGGGCCGACACUGACGCUAAGGCGCGAAAGCCAGGGGAGCGAACGGG
rnacentral:rRNA from 1 species